AAUCUCUCCUCUUAAGGCUACAGCCUUUCCUUGUUUUUUACUUAUCUCCCGCACCUGCUCUCUGUUCCAGCCCCCUUUUCAAAUCCCCUUAAAAGCCAGACGCUGACUCAGUUCCGGGCUCUGCUCUGGUUUCCACAUCAGGCGAGUCCAGGACCUGGAAGCGUCUCGUCCCGUUAAGGUUUUAGUUUCUGUUCCUGUUCCCGUUCCAGUGCAGGUCCUGACCCGAUUCCUGUUUUUAUCCUGUUCGUCUUGGAUGGACCUCUGUAGAGACCACAGUGACAUCACCAGUACCUGUGUGGAAGCUUUUCAGAACUUCUCUGUAGUAGAAUUCUCAGUUUUAUGAAGUUCUUAAAGAACAGAAGAAACAGAGGUCUAGUUAUCUGUUUGUCACUGGAGGCAGUUUAGAUAAAGAUGAGCUUGUUAGGACCUUCCUCAUUGCUUCUAAUGUCGUAUUGUCUAUUUCAUUUGUCCUCUGGGGUGUAACUGAAGGGUCUUUGGAAGAAGUGAUCAUGUGUGUGACUGUUAAUCUUCUGAGGAUUGUACCAGUUCUGGCUUUUUUCAAUGGUAAGUUCUGAAGAGAUGAGCUCACUAUGGAGAACUGUUUAUUAAGGUGCAUCUUGA
rnacentral:lncRNA from 1 species